UACGAAGGGUGCAAGCGUUAAUCGGAAUUACUGGGCGUAAAGGGUGCGUAGGCGGCCUGUUAAGUCGGAUGUGAAAGCCCUGGGCUCAACCUGGGAAUGGCAUCCGAUACUGGCGGGCUGGAGUGCGGUAGAGGAUGGUGGAAUUCCCGGUGUAGCGGUGAAAUGCGUAGAGAUCGGGAGGAACAUCGGUGGCGAAGGCGGCCAUCUGGACCAGCACUGACGCUGAGGCACGAAAGCGUGGGGAGCAAACAGG
rnacentral:rRNA from 1 species